rnacentral:lncRNA from 1 species
GAGAUGGGGUUCCACCAUGUUAGGCUGGUUGAGAACUCCUGACCUGAGGUGAUCUACCCGCCUCGGCCUCCCAAAGUGCUGGGAUUACAGGCGUGCGCUACCACGCCUGGCCGAUGCUCCCUGCUUCUUACCCAUGCUCAGGAGAGGUGAGGCUGGAAGAGAAUUGGGUUUUAACUGGAUAAAUUAUUGUAAUAAAUAAUACAGUGGUUAAGUG